UACGUAGGGGGCAAGCGUUGUCCGGAUUUAUUGGGCGUAAAGAGCGUGUAGGCUGCUCGGAUAGUCGGGUGUGAAAGCCCUGGGCUCAACCCAGGAAGUGCAUUCGAUACUGCCGAGCUUGAGUCCUGGAGAGGAAGGCGGAAUUCUCGGUGUAGAGGUGAAAUUCGUAGAUAUCGAGAGGAACACCGGUGGCGAAGGCGGCCUUCUGGACAGUGACUGACGCUGAGACGCGAAAGCGUGGGGAGCAAACAGG
rnacentral:rRNA from 1 species